rnacentral:rRNA from 1 species
UACGAGGGGGGCAAGCGUUGUUCGGAAUUAUUGGGCGUAAAGGGCGCGUAGGCGGUGCGGUAAGACUGUGGUGAAAUCUUCGGGCUCAACUCGAAGCCUGCCGCGGUGACUGCCGUGCUGGAGUGUGGGAGAGGUGAGUGGAAUUCCCGGUGUAGCGGUGAAAUGCGUAGAUAUCGGAAGGAACACCUGUGGCGAAAGCGGCUCACUGGACCACUACUGACGCUGAUGCGCGAAAGCUAGGGGAGCAAACAGG